AGUGAACGCUGGCGGUAGGCCUAACACAUGCCAGUCGAACGGCAGCACAGUAAGAGCUUGCUCUUACGGGUGGCGAGUGGCGGACGGGUGAGGAAUACAUCGGAAUCUACUUUUUCGUGGGGGAUAACGUAGGGAAACUUACGCUAAUACCGCAUACGACCUACGGGUGAAAGCAGGGGAUCUUCGGACCUUGCGCGAUUGAAUGAGCCGAUGUCGGAUUAGCUAGUUGGCGGGGUAAAGGCCCACCAAGGCGACGAUCCGUAGCUGGUCUGAGAGGAUGAUCAGCCACACGGGAACUGAGACACGGUCCAGACUCCUACGGGAGGCAGCAGUGGGGAAUAUUGGACAAUGGGCGCAAGCCUGAUCCAGCCAUACCGCGUGGGUGAAGAAGGAGUGCGGGUUGUAAAGCCCUUUUGUUGGGAAAGAAAAGAAGCAGGUUAAUACCCCGCUGUUCUGACGGUACCCAAAGAAUAAGCACCGGCUAACUUCGUG
rnacentral:rRNA from 1 species